rnacentral:rRNA from 1 species
CCAGAGGCAUCCCGCGGCUAUAAUGCAGUCGAGCGAUGGAUUAAGAGCUUGCUCUUAUGAAGUUAGCGGCGGACGGGUGAGUAACACGUGGGUAACCUGCCCAUAAGACUGGGAUAACUCCGGGAAACCGGGGCUAAUACCGGAUAACAUUUUGAACCGCAUGGUUCGAAAUUGAAAGGCGGCUUCGGCUGUCACUUAUGGAUGGACCCGCGUCGCAUUAGCUAGUUGGUGAGGUAACGGCUCACCAAGGCAACGAUGCGUAGCCGACCUGAGAGGGUGAUCGGCCACACUGGGACUGAGACACGGCCCAGACUCCUACGGGAGGCAGCAGUAGGGAAUCUUCCGCAAUGGACGAAAGUCUGACGGAGCAACGCCGCGUGAGUGAUGAAGGCUUUCGGGUCGUAAAACUCUGUUGUUAGGGAAGAACAAGUGCUAGUUGAAUAAGCUGGCACCUUGACGGUACCUAACCAGAAAGCCACGGCUAACUACGUGCCAGCAGCCGCGGUAAUACGUAGGUGGCAAGCGUUAUCCGGAAUUAUUGGGCGUAAAGCGCGCGCAGGUGGUUUCUUAAGUCUGAUGUGAAAGCCCACGGCUCAACCGUGGAGGGUCAUUGGAAACUGGGAGACUUGAGUGCAGAAGAGGAAAGUGGAAUUCCAUGUGUAGCGGUGAAAUGCGUAGAGAUAUGGAGGAACACCCAGUGGCGAAGGCGACUUUCUGGUUCUGUAACUGACACUGAGGCGCGAAAGCGUGGGGAGC